UACGUAGGGGGCAAGCGUUGUCCGGAUUUAUUGGGCGUAAAGAGCGUGUAGGCGGCUUUACAGGUCCGUUGUGAAAACUCGAGGCUCAACCUCGAGACGCCGGUGGAAACCGUAAGGCUAGAGUCCGGAAGAGGAGAGUGGAAUUCCUGGUGUAGCGGUGGAAUGCGCAGAUAUCAGGAGGAACACCAAUAGCGAAGGCAGCUCGCUGGGACGGUACUGACGCUAAGGCGCGAAAGCGUGGGGAGCGAACAGG
rnacentral:rRNA from 1 species